UCCCUGGUGGCUCAGUGGUAAAGCAUCUGCCUGCAAUGUAGGAGACCUGGGUUCAAUCCCUGAGUUGGGAA
rnacentral:tRNA from 1 species